GCUAGAUCAUGUGCUCAAAGCUAGUUGCAGAGAUAAGCAAAGCAGAACGAAGUUGUGUCCUCACAUUCUGGGCUGAAUUUGCUAUGCUGAUCCAGCGUCUGCACUGAGUUUGGUAUCAAUGUAGUGACCUCUCAGAAGCUGGGACCACCAGGUUGCCUAAGGAGGGGUGAACCAGCCCAGGAAAUGGAGCAGGUCAAAGCUUCCAUGCUGAUCAGUGGCAGCAUUUGUGAAUAGCCAGCCAGGGCAGCAUAGCAAGACCCUAUAUCU
rnacentral:sRNA from 1 species